rnacentral:rRNA from 1 species
GUACACGCUGUGACUAGCAUAUCAAUAAGCGAGGAAAAGAAACUAACAAGGAUUCCCCUAGUAACGGCGAGUGAAGCGGGAAGAGCUCAAAUUUGAAAUCUUAAAGGGUUUCCCUUUACGAAUUGUAGUUUAAAGAAGUGUUUUCUGUUGAGGUUUUGGUAAAAGUUCUUUGGAAUAGGACAUCAUAGAGGGUGAGAAUCCCGUAUUUGACCUUUACUUUCAACUUUGUGAUACACUUUCAAAGAGUCGGAUUGUUUGGGAAUGCAGUCCAAAAUGGGUGGUAAAUUUCCAUCUAAAGCUAAAUAUUGGCGAGAGACCGAUAGCGAACAAGUACCGUGAGGGAAAGAUGAAAAGAACUUUGAAAAGAGAGUUAAACAGUACGUGAAAUUGUCAAAAGGGAAGCGUUUGACACCAGUGUUGUUUUUCUGAAAAUCAAUUAAAGAACUGUUUAUGCUAAGCUGUUUAGACUUUAUCAGCUAUCUGUUUAGUUUUGAGCUUUUCUUUAAUGCACUUUUCAGUUAACAAGUCAACAUCAAUUUCUUUUGCUGUAAAAAAGCUUGAGGAAGGUGGCUUGAGAUUCGUCUUAAGUGUUUAUAGCCUCUUGCCUAUGCAGUCGGAGAGAUUGAGGUCUGCAGCGUAGAUCCUUCGGGGCUAAAUGCAUUUGUGCUAAGUUAUAGCAUUUUAUAGACAACUUGUUGACUAUGAUUUGUCUUGUAGCUUACUCGCUUAUGUUAUUUUACCUACGCUUAGGAUGUUGAAGAUGUAGCACAUCAU